UUUAUGGAGAGUUUGAUCCUGGCUCAGGAUGAACGCUGGCGGCGUGCCUAAUACAUGCAAGUCGAGCGAACGGACGAGAAGCUUGCUUCUCUGAUGUUAGCGGCGGACGGGUGAGUAACACGUGGAUAACCUACCUAUAAGACUGGGAUAACUUCGGAAACCGGAGCUAAUACCGGAUAAUAUUUUGAACCGCAUGGUUCAAAAGUGAAAGACGGUCUUGCUGUCACUUAUAGAUGGAUCCGCGCUGCAUUAGCUAGUUGGUAAGGUAACGGCUUACCAAGGCAACGAUGCAUAGCCGACCUGAGAGGGUGAUCGGCCACACUGGAACUGAGACACGGUCCAGACUCCUACGGGAGGCAGCAGUAGGGAAUCUUCCGCAAUGGGCGAAAGCCUGACGGAGCAACGCCGCGUGAGUGAUGAAGGUCUUCGGAUCGUAAAACUCUGUUAUUAGGGAAGAACAUAUGUGUAAGUAACUGUGCACAUCUUGACGGUACCUAAUCAGAAAGCCACGGCUAACUACGUGCCAGCAGCCGCGGUAAUACGUAGGUGGCAAGCGUUAUCCGGAAUUAUUGGGCGUAAAGCGCGCGUAGGCGGUUUUUUAAGUCUGAUGUGAAAGCCCACGGCUCAACCGUGGAGGGUCAUUGGAAACUGGAAAACUUGAGUGCAGAAGAGGAAAGUGGAAUUCCAUGUGUAGCGGUGAAAUGCGCAGAGAUAUGGAGGAACACCAGUGGCGAAGGCGACUUUCUGGUCUGUAACUGACGCUGAUGUGCGAAAGCGUGGGGAUCAAACAGGAUUAGAUACCCUGGUAGUCCACGCCGUAAACGAUGAGUGCUAAGUGUUAGGGGGUUUCCGCCCCUUAGUGCUGCAGCUAACGCAUUAAGCACUCCGCCUGGGGAGUACGACCGCAAGGUUGAAACUCAAAGGAAUUGACGGGGACCCGCACAAGCGGUGGAGCAUGUGGUUUAAUUCGAAGCAACGCGAAGAACCUUACCAAAUCUUGACAUCCUUUGACAACUCUAGAGAUAGAGCUUUCCCCUUCGGGGGACAAAGUGACAGGUGGUGCAUGGUUGUCGUCAGCUCGUGUCGUGAGAUGUUGGGUUAAGUCCCGCAACGAGCGCAACCCUUAAGCUUAGUUGCCAUCAUUAAGUUGGGCACUCUAAGUUGACUGCCGGUGACAAACCGGAGGAAGGUGGGGAUGACGUCAAAUCAUCAUGCCCCUUAUGAUUUGGGCUACACACGUGCUACAAUGGACAAUACAAAGGGCAGCGAAACCGCGAGGUCAAGCAAAUCCCAUAAAGUUGUUCUCAGUUCGGAUUGUAGUCUGCAACUCGACUACAUGAAGCUGGAAUCGCUAGUAAUCGUAGAUCAGCAUGCUACGGUGAAUACGUUCCCGGGUCUUGUACACACCGCCCGUCACACCACGAGAGUUUGUAACACCCGAAGCCGGUGGAGUAACCUUUUAGGAGCUAGCCGUCGAAGGUGGGACAAAUGAUUGGGGUGAAGUCGUAACAAGGUAGCCGUAUCGGAAGGUGCGGCUGGAUCACCUCCUUU
rnacentral:rRNA from 1 species